CUCGUCGCCGGCAGCCGCGCACAAGGCAUGGGAGGAAGAGGAAAGAAGGGAGGAAAAGGAGGAAGGCUUAUCUUGACCUCCGGUGACUUCGUCGGAGAGCAGUCACGGCGAAGACAAAGUGGUGUCCGCGGCUCUAAUUCGAGAAAAUCGGAGAGAAAGAGAGAGGGAGGAGGCCGAUGUUUGGUCUCAUGGGGGAGGGGGUCUUCUUAUAGGGAACCCUAGGACUCCGAGGGUUCC
rnacentral:lncRNA from 1 species